GGUUCUAUGGGGUAAUAGGGUUCUUAAUGGGGGUCAAUUGGUUCUUAGUGGGGUAAAAUAGGGUUCUAUGGGGGUAAUUGGGGUUCUAUGGGGGGUAAUAAGGGUCUAUGGGGGGGGUAAUUGGGUUCUAUGGGGGGUAAUAGGGUUCUA
rnacentral:lncRNA from 1 species